rnacentral:lncRNA from 1 species
GAUAGUUCUGUCAACUGGUUUAUCCACUUGGGUUCAGAAUUUGACUAGCUGAUGAGUGACAGGGAAUCAUGGGAACAAUCACCAAUUUGGUAUUGGUGAAAGUACUAUAUUUUAUCAUAUGUUAUGGAAGUUCACAAACUACAUGCAUCAAGCGUCUGAUGAGUGAAAGUGAAUCGUGGAGAUGUGCAGGGUAUGCAGGGAAUAACAAGAGUUCAUGACCUUUCAAUGCUAAUGCAACAAAGAAAUAAAAGCA